CCUACGGGUGGCAGCAGUGGGGAAUAUUGCACAAUGGGGGAAACCCUGAUGCAGCGACGCCGCGUGAGUGAAGAAGGAAUUCGUGAUGUAAAGCUCUAUAAGCAGGGAAGAAAAGGACGGUACCUGAGUAAGAAGCCCCGGCUAACUACGUGCCAGCAGCCGCGGUAAUACGUAGGGGGCAAGCGUUAGCCGGAUUUACUGGGUGUAAAGGGAGCGUAGACGGCAGGGCAAGUCUGGAGUGAAAGGCGGGGGCUCCACCCCCGGACUGCUCUGGAAACUGUACGGCUGGAGUGCAGGAGAGGUCAGUGGAAUUCCUCUUGUAGCGGUGUCAUGCUUAGAUCUUAGGCGG
rnacentral:rRNA from 1 species